rnacentral:rRNA from 1 species
UACGAACUGUGCGAACGUUAUUCGGAAUCACUGGGCUUACAGGGUGCGUAGGCGGCCUUUCAAGUCAGGUGUGAAAUCCCCCGGCUCAACCGGGGAAUGGCGCUUGAAACUGGAGGGCUGGAGGCAACUAGAGGUGCAUGGAACUUCCGGUGGAGCGGUGAAAUGUGUUGAUAUCGGAAGGAACACCAGAGGCGAAAGCGAUGCACUGGGGUUGAUCUGACGCUGAGGCACGAAAGCCAGGGGAGCGAACGGG